rnacentral:rRNA from 1 species
GAUGAACGCUGGCGGCGUGCCUAACACAUGCAAGUCGAGCGAACAGACGAGGAUUUUGCUCCUCUGACGUUAGCGGCACACGGGUGAGUAACACGUGGAUACCCUACCUAUAUUACGGGUAUAACUUCGGGAAACCGGAUCUUAUACCGUAUAAGAUGUUGAACCGCAUGGGUCAACAGUAAAAGACGGUGUUGCGGUCACUAAUAGAUGGUUCCGCGCCGCAUUAGCUAGUUGGUAGGGUAACGGCUUACCAAGGCGACGAUGCGUAGCCGACGGGAGAGGGGGGUCGCCGACACUGGAGCGGGACCAGGGUCCAGGGGCCUAAGGGACGCAGCAGACGGGAAUCUGAGGCAAUAGGCGGGAGCCUGACAGAGCGACGCCGCGUGAGUGAAGACGGUCUUCGGAUCGUAAAACUCUGUUAUUGGGGAAAAACAAAUGUCUAAGUAGCUGUGCACGUCGUGACGGUAACUAAUCAGAAAGCCACGGCUAACUACGUG